rnacentral:tRNA from 1 species
GGGCGCAUAGCUCAGUUGGGAGAGCACCUGCCUUACAAGCAGGGGGUCACAGGUUCAAGCCCUGUUGUGCCCA